AAUUUUUUAAAUGGAAAUCUUAUAAAAACACACUGCUAUGGUCUGACAGUAUUCAUCCCCCUAAAACUCCUAUGUUGAUACCCAGUCACCAAAGUGAUGGUAUUAGAAAAUAGGGACUUUAGGAGGUGACUAGGUCAUGAGGGCUCCGUCCUCAUGAAUGGGGUUCAUGUCCUUAUGAAAGAGGCCCCAGAGAGCUGCCUUCGCUUCCGCCAUGUGAGGAUGAAGUGAGAAGGCGCCAUCUAUGAAGCAGAGAACCCUCAAAUGUACAUGUACCCCUGAACUUAAAAGAUGAAAAGAAAAAUAAAUUGAUGUUCAAGUUUGUCACAGGUGACCCUUAAAGUCCUCCUAAUGGCUUGACUACUUUGUUAUCAGAUUUAUAUAUAUAUAUAUAUUCUUUUUGAGAUGGAGUUUCU
rnacentral:lncRNA from 10 species